UACGUAGGGUGCAAGCGUUAUCCGGAAUUAUUGGGCGUAAAGAGCUCGUAGGCGGUUUGUCGCGUCUGCUGUGAAAACCCGAGGCUCAACCUCGGGCCUGCAGUGGGUACGGGCAGACUAGAGUGCGGUAGGGGUGACUGGAAUUCCUGGUGUAGCGGUGGAAUGCGCAGAUAUCAGGAGGAACACCGAUGGCGAAGGCAGGUCACUGGGCCGCAACUGACGCUGAGGAGCGAAAGCAUGGGGAGCGAACAGG
rnacentral:rRNA from 1 species